rnacentral:lncRNA from 10 species
AUUUGCAUUAUUUUUUAUUAUUGUAUUUAAAAAAUUUUUUUCCAGAGUAUUUUCAAUCUGCAGUUGGUUGAAUGGGCAGAUAGAUACAGAACCCGUGGGUAAUGAAGGCCAAAUGUACUAUCUUGAUUCAAUAAUUGCUAUGCUAACAUUUCUCCACAUUUGAUUUAAUUUCAACACACACACACUCUAAAUAUGUUUGUUGCUCUACCAUUUGAGAUUAAGUUGCAGACAUUGUAGUAAAGUUGGCAUUGCAGAUUGGCAGAGGAAAGAUGGGCUCUUUAGUGAAUUAUAUUGGGACAGCUGUCCCGCCUCUUCAGGGAAAAAUAAAUUGUAGCCCUAUUGAACUCUUUGACCAAAAUUAAUUCUGGAUGAAACAAAAAUUUAAAUCUGAAAAGUGAAAUAAUAAAAAUGCUAGAGGAGAGUAUAGGUUUUUAAGUGACCAUUUCUUAGUUGACAAUUUGGAGCUUGAGAAUGCAGGGACAGCACAGGUAAUAUCUGACAGCCUCAAGAGUGGCAGGAGGCCAUGACAACCCCCUCACCUGGUGCCUGCACAGAAGCAGGGAAGUGUGAGCUACAUGUAGAGGGAGGAUCAUAAAAACAGGCCCAAGAACAAAGGGCUCAGAGCUCUGCUGACCUUAUAGGAUUCCCGUUUCUGUGUUUCCUGUGCAGUGCCCUUCACAUGGCCUGCUUGAGACCUUCCAUCAGCCCAGUCUGAGGUCCCUUAGGGGACGGUGUAGACCCCAGGAGGGAAGGGCUGGCUCUUCUCUAGGAUGUCAGGAGGACCAGAGCUGCUGGGGCCCCACCUCGUCUGAAAACAACACAGAGCAGGGAAGAGCCAAGCCAAGGUGACAAAGGAAAGUGGAGUCCUAAUCACACUAUUUGAGGAUGCCUGGAUCCAGCUGCACCUGAAGCAUUCCCCGGGUGUGCUGGUUAUGCAGGACAGUCCUUUCCUCUUCUGGGGCCUAGAUUUCUAUCACUGAGCUCCAAGCAAGCAGACGGUUUUAGAAAUGAUUAUUCUAAGAUUAAAGUGCCAAAUCAACACAUUACCUAUGAAGGAGAAGAAAUGUUCACAUAUCAAAACUCAUUAGCUCUGAUAUGAAAAGAAGACAUGGCCACCAGCAGUUUUAAAAUAAGUAUCUCUGAAAUGCCACGCAGCUUCCUCCUUUCCCUCUGAAUCACCAUUCGUUCAUUCUUCCUGGCUGCCUUGGGCUGAGUGCUGAGGAGGUCUAGCAACAUCAGAGCGGCAGGAGCGGCUGUCCAUUAGCAGCAUUUGGCACGCUGGAGGGAG